rnacentral:lncRNA from 1 species
AAAUCAUCAGGGGUUGCCUGCUUGGCAGUCACAUGCUUCCCUGGUUUUAGCACACAUACAAGGAGUUUUCAGGGAACUCUAUCAAGCCAUACCAAAAUCAGGGUCACAUGUGGGUUUCCCCUUUCCUUGCCUCUUCAUAAAAGACAACUUGGCUUCUGAGGAUGGUGGUCUUUUGCAUGCAGUUGGGCUGACCUGACAAAGCCCCCAGUUUCCUGUGGCAGGUUCUGGGAGAGGAUGCAUUCAAGCUUCUGCAGCCUAGGGGACAGGGCUGCUUGUUCAGUUAUUACUGCCUCGGAGCUCCAAAUCCCACCAAAGUCCUGACUCCAGGUCUUUCCUAAUGCACAGUAGUCAGUCUCAGCUUCGGCAGUAUUCUCGGCUGUAUGUUCUCUGGCAGAGAGAGGCAGAUGAACAUAGUUUUAGGGAGAAAGCUGAUGGGAAACCUGUGAGUUAAGCCACAUGUCUCACCAGGAAUAAUUUAUGCCAGGAAACCAGGAAGUCAUUCAAGUUGUUCUCUGAGGCCAAAGACACUGAGCACAGCCCAGAGCCAAUAAAAGAUCUUUGAGUCUCUGGUGAAUUCACGAAGUGACCCCAG